rnacentral:rRNA from 1 species
GACGAACGCUGGCGGCGUGCUUAACACAUGCAAGUCGAACGGUGAAGCGCCUUCCUUUUUGGUGGGUGUGGAUGAGUGGCGAACGGGUGAGUAACACGUGAGUAACCUGCCCCCUUCUUCUGGAUAACCGCAUGAAAGUGUGACUAAUACGGGAUAUUCUGGGUCUGUCGCAUGAUGGGUCUGGGAAAGAUAUUGUUUCGGUGGGGGAUGGGCUCGCGGCCUAUCAGCUUGUUGGUGGGGUGAUGGCCUACCAAGGCGGUGACGGGUAGCCGGCCUGAGAGGGUGGACGGUCACACUGGGACUGAGACACGGCCCAGACUCCUACGGGAGGCAGCAGUGGGGAAUAUUGCACAAUGGGCGCAAGCCUGAUGCAGCGACGCCGCGCGAGGGAUGGAGGCCUUCGGGUUGUGAACCUCUUUCGCCAGUGAAGCAGGCCUGCCUCGUUUGUGGGUGGGUUGAUGGUAGCUGGAUAAGAAGCGCCGGCUAACUACGUG